GGGGGAUUAGCUCAGUUGGCUAGAGCGCCUGCUUUGCAAGCAGGAGGUCAUCGGUUCGACUCCGAUAUUCUCCACAA
rnacentral:tRNA from 1 species